rnacentral:rRNA from 1 species
AGAGAGAGACAUGCGCGCAUAUCAAUAAGCGGAGGAAAAGAAACUAACAAGGAUUCCCCUAGUAACGGCGAGUGAAGCGGGAAGAGCUCAAAUUUGAAAUCUUAAAGGGUUUCCCUUUACGAAUUGUAGUUUAAAGAAGUGUUUUCUGUUGAGGUUUUGGUAAAAGUUCUUUGGAAUAGGACAUCAUAGAGGGUGAGAAUCCCGUAUUUGACCUUUACUUUCAACUUUGUGAUACACUUUCAAAGAGUCGGAUUGUUUGGGAAUGCAGUCCAAAAUGGGUGGUAAAUUUCAUCUAAAGCUAAAUAUUGGCGAGAGACCGAUAGCGAACAAGUACCGUGAGGGAAAGAUGAAAAGAACUUUGAAAAGAGAAUUAAACAGUACGUGAAAUUGUCAAAAGGGAAGCGUUUGACACCAGUGUUGUUUUUCUGAAAAUCAAUUAAAGGAACUGUUUAUGCUAAGUUGUUUAGACUUUAUCAGCUAACUGUUUAGUUUUGAGCUUUUCUUUAAUGCACUUUUCAGUUAACAAGUCAACAUCAAUUUCUUUUGCUGUAAAAAAGCUUGAGGAAGGUGGCUUGAGAUUCGUCUUAAGUGUUUAUAGCCUCUUGCCUAUGCAGUCGGAGAGAUUGAGGUCUGCAGCGUAGAUCCUUCGGGGCUAAAUGCAUUUGUGCUAAGUUAUAGCAUUUUAUAGACAACUUGUUGACUAUGAUUUGUCUUGUAGCUUACUCGCUUAUGUUAUUUUACCUACGCUUAGGAUGUUGAGCGCAUGUCUCUCUCU